CAGAAGGGAGCUUGCUCCCGGAUGUUAGCGGCGGACGGGUGAGUAACACGUGGGUAACCUGCCUGUAAGACUGGGAUAACUCCGGGAAACCGGAGCUAAUACCGGAUAGUUCCUUGAACCGCAUGGUUCAAGGAUGAAAGACGGUUUCGGCUGUCACUUACAGAUGGACCCGCGGCGCAUUAGCUAGUUGGUGAGGUAACGGCUCACCAAGGCGACGAUGCGUAGCCGACCUGAGAGGGUGAUCGGCCACACUGGGACUGAGACACGGCCCAGACUCCUACGGGAGGCAGCAGUAGGGAAUCUUCCGCAAUGGACGAAAGUCUGACGGAGCAACGCCGCGUGAGUGAUGAAGGUUUUCGGAUCGUAAAGCUCUGUUGUUAGGGAAGAACAAGUGCAAGAGUAACUGCUUGCACCUUGACGGUACCUAACCAGAAAGCCACGGCUAACUACGUGCCAGCAGCCGCGGUAAUACGUAGGUGGCAAGCGUUGUCCGGAAUUAUUGGGCGUAAAGGGCUCGCAGGCGGUUUCUUAAGUCUGAUGUGAAAGCCCCCGGCUCAACCGGGGAGGGUCAUUGGAAACUGGGAAACUUGAGUGCAGAAGAGGAGAGUGGAAUUCCACGUGUAGCGGUGAAAUGCGUAGAGAUGUGGAGGAACACCAGUGGCGAAGGCGACUCUCUGGUCUGUAACUGACGCUGAGGAGCGAAAGCGUGGGGAGCGAACAGGAUUAGAUACCCUGGUAGUCCACGCCGUAAACGAUGAGUGCUAAGUGUUAGGGGGUUUCCGCCCCUUAGUGCUGCAGCUA
rnacentral:rRNA from 1 species